rnacentral:rRNA from 1 species
GCAUAUCAAUAAGCGGAGGAAAAGAAACUAACAAGGAUUCCCCUAGUAACGGCGAGUGAAGAGGGAAGAGCCCAAGAUUGAAAGCUGGCGUCUUCGGCGUCCGCAUUGUAAUCUCAAGAAGUGUUUUCCGCUUCGGACCAUGCCUAAGUCCCUUGGAAAAGGGCAUCAUAGAGGGUGAUAAUCCCGUACAUGGCAUGGAGCGCCCGUAGCUUUGUGAUACGCUUUCUAAGAGUCGAGUUGUUUGGGAAUGCAGCUCAAAAUGGGUGGUAAAUGCCAUCUAAGGCUAAAUAUUGGGGAGAGACCGAUAGCGAACAAGUACAGUGAUGGAAAGAUGAAAAGAACUUUGAAAAGAGAGUUAAACAGUACGUGAAAUUGCCAAAAGGGAAGGGUAGGAGGUCAGAGAUGCGUCUUGGGAUUCAGCCUUGCUUUUGCCUGGUGUUUUUCCCAAGCUGCAGGCCAACGUCGGUUUUGGGCACUGGAGAAGGGUAGGAGGAACGUGGCACCUCUCGGGGUGUGUUAUAGCCUCCUACUGGAUACAGCGACCGAGACCGAGGAACGCAGCGUACUCGUAAGAGCGGGCCUUUUUGGCACCUUACGCUAGCCGUGCAAAAGCCAAAAAAAACCACAA